UGGGGAAUUUUGGACAAUGGGGGAAACCCUGAUCCAGCCAUCCCGCGUGUGCGAUGAAGGCCUUCGGGUUGUAAAGCACUUUUGGCAGGAAAGAAACGUCAUGGGUUAAUACCCCGUGAAACUGACGGUACCUGCAGAAUAAGCACCGGCUAACUACGUGCCAGCAGCCGCGGUAAUACGUAGGGUGCAAGCGUUAAUCGGAAUUACUGGGCGUAAAGCGUGCGCAGGCGGUUCGGAAAGAAAGAUGUGAAAUCCCAGAGCUCAACUUUGGAACUGCAUUUUUAACUACCGGGCUAGAGUGUGUCAGAGUGAGGUGGAAUUCCGCGUGUAGCAGUGAAAUGCGUGAAUAUGCGGAGGAACACCGAUGGCGAAGGCAGCCUCCUGGGAUAACACUGACGCUCAUGCACGAAAGCGUGGGGAGCAAACAGG
rnacentral:rRNA from 1 species